GGGGCAGGAGCUUAGUGAUGGAGCUCCCGCUUCGCAUGCGAGAAGACCUGGGUUCGAUUUCCGGCUGCUUCC
rfam:Toxocara canis scaffold978, whole genome shotgun sequence.